CGAACGGGUGAGUAACGCGUGAGGAACCUGCCUCAAAGAGGGGGACAACAGUUGGAAACGACUGCUAAUACCGCAUAAGCCCACGGCUCGGCAUCGAGCAGAGGGAAAAGGAGUGAUCCGCUUUGAGAUGGCCUCGCGUCCGAUUAGCUGGUUGGUGAGGUAACGGCCCACCAAGGCGACGAUCGGUAGCCGGACUGAGAGGUUGAACGGCCACAUUGGGACUGAGACACGGUCCAG
rnacentral:rRNA from 1 species